UAACAUAUCGGAACGUAUCCUUAAGUGGGGGACGAACCUAGCGAAAGUUAGGCUAAUACCGCAUACGCAGGGAACUGGAAAGUGGGGGAGUCGCAAGACCUCACGCUUUUGGAGCGGCCGAUAUCAGAUUAGCUUGUUGGUGAGGUAAAGGCUCACCAAGGCGACGAUCUGUAGCUGGUCUGAGAGGAUGAUCAGCCACACUGGGACUGAGACACGGCCCAG
rnacentral:rRNA from 1 species